UACGUAGGGGGCAAGCGUUGUCCGGAUUUAUUGGGCGUAAAGAGCGUGUAGGCGGCCAUACAGGUCCGUUGUGAAAACUGGAGGCUUAACCUCCAGACGUCGAUGGAAACCGUAUGGCUAGAGUCCGGAAGAGGAGAGUGGAAUUCCUGGUGUAGCGGUGAAAUGCGCAGAUAUCAGGAAGAACACCCGUGGCGAAGGCGGAUCUCUGGUACGUGACUGACGCUGAGACGCGAAAGCGUGGGGAGCAAACAGG
rnacentral:rRNA from 1 species